GUCGCUGCCGUUAGCAAUUAGCACAGUGUGCCGAACCGGGCUCAGCUUAUAACAGAACGCGGCCAUAACACACGUUAUUAAAUGCACCUGCCAUAACGUGUCAAAAUGUCUGCCGAGAAAAGCGCUCUAUCGAAUCGUUCAAACACAAAGCCGCACGAUGGGACUGCCGGCAGGUGAGCUUGCAUAUAAAAUACUUCAUGUGCAGCAGGGCGGCUAGCCGCAAGUCUGCAAAAAGAAUUACAGCCGAGUUUGUGAAGUGCAACGGCAGGGCCCACAGAGCAAACGGGGCGGUUUGAAUCAAGCUGAAGCGGACUCGGACAGCGCACUCGCCUCCCGUGUCACGCUGUUUCCCGCCGUGCAGACGGGGCUCGGGUCAUUCAUGUCUAGGGUCACCACAGCAACAGUCGCGCUGACGUGUCGCUCGCCGAGGAGCGCGCUCGGCUCUGGAUUGACUAGCCCCGUAUCUGCGUGUGUUUGCGCGUGUGCUAACAAGGUCAGCAGUUCAAAGAGUAUACAUCAACAAACAUUUCCCCCCCGGUGACCGCCUGUUAAUGGCUUCAGUCAAAUAGAACAAAUCAACAUGAUGGUUUUUGUUUUUUUCUCUUUUCCCGCUCACAUACCCAGUCCCCCUUCCUCUGUUUCCAUCUCCCACUCUCCCCUUAAUUUACCCUUCAGCUCUUAAUAGCCACAGAAGCUUAUCUUUGAUGAAAAACACAUGCACUCCUCACAAUAAAAUUAUGAUACCA